rnacentral:rRNA from 1 species
UAACACGUAGGGUGCGAGCGUUGUCCGGAAUUAUUGGGCGUAAAGAGCUCGUAGGCGGUGUGUCGCGUCGGCCGUGAAAACUUGCAGCUUAACUGUGGGCGUGCGGUCGAUACGGGCAUCACUGGAGUUCGGCAGGGGAGACUGGAAUUCCUGGUGUAGCGGUGAAAUGCGCAGAUAUCAGGAGGAACACCGGUGGCGAAGGCGGGUCUCUGGGCCGAUACUGACGCUGAGGAGCGAAAGCGUGGGGAGCGAACA